CACUACGAAAGGAUGAAGUAAAAUAACCAGACACACAACAGCUUUAUGGACAGAAUUGCUCGCUUUUAUAUCAAUGCGCAAAGUCCGAUAAGUAGAAAUGUAUUCAUUGACCACACAGCUCCCAUUAUGAUGUCGCUUUCUGUCACUAAUUCGGCGCGGAAAUUCUUUUUCACCGAGAGAUUAAUCCGUGUGCAAAGUACGCAGUCUGUCGAUCACUUCAGUUUGUGAGCACCUCUCUCUCUCUUGAGGACAUCCGGAUGCGAGUGACGUACGCAUUAGGCCUACUCGGACGAUCUGUGGAUAUAAUUUACAAUCAUACUAAAUUCUACCAUGGAGAUAUAACCUGCUUUAUUGAUCGAUGGGAGCUAACGACAAGUUCUACCGGAUAAUGGGUUUCCAAAAGAUAGAUAACCUGUUGUGGAUAAUAUUUAUACUCUUGAGUCAAGUCCAGUCACAAUGUACAGACAUUAAGUGGAAAACUACAGUCUGGAGUCCCGAGGAAGUCGAGGUUUCCCAUUCAACGGUCCCAUUGGAUGAUGAUGAUGCUAAAUAUUCUCUGCAUCUUCAUCUGAGUUGGAGUAGGCCUAAACCGAAUUUAACUUUAAUAGACUUUGACGGUUAUGCGGUGAGUAUUGAGGUUCGUGGCGAAGGGAUAAACAAAAGUUAUUCAUGUGAUCUUGAUGAAAAUGGAGGCCUGUAUUACACGAAUGAAACUGAGAUGGGGAUAGAAAUUAAGUUCAAUUACGAAUAUCAUAUAGAAUUUCAUCUUGCCAGCAAAAAACUAAACCAAAAAACUGUAUUGACUGGGAUACCUUACGAUUUCAAUGGUGCCGACUGCUAUCAAGAAACUGGAGAUCACGACUUUUGCAUUACUCAAGAUGCACAGUAUGUCAGUGCGCCGGUUGAUGUCCGUGUUGAGAACAUCACGAGGUCAUCGACGACGAAUUAUCGUUACGAAAUGUGGAUGUCGAUGUUUCCCCCAGCAAGCGUCAACAGUGAUGCAAUUAUGUGUUGUUAUAGUUUGACUAUUAUAUCGACAUUCGACGAAACCACAAAUGACUUUGAUAGGGUAAAUGUUGACACAAAACAACGUAUAUAUUUCAAUUUGAGCAGAAAUUUUACGAAAUACACACCCUAUGUUCUGACGGCAGUCGUGUAUGCAGAUGUCUCUGGUGAACAGUAUGCGAAACCAAGCUUGGAAUCGUCUUUUGAAUUUCAACUGCAGGAUUUUUUACGCGAGAAGGAUGGUGGCAAUUCUGGUCACACAGGCACUGUAACGGGAAGUAUUAACAUAUAUUAUACGUUAGUUAUACCUGUUCUCAUCGGAGCUAUAUUGUUUGCUACAUCAGUUAUCCUACUUGGAUUCUACACUCGGAGACAGAGAAUAAAGGCAGCAAUACCACAAUUUAAGCGCGAACCAGACGACAAUUUCAUUAAGUCUGCACAGGAUUACUUUGAAUAUCGGGAGGUUGAUCCUCUGUUUGCUAAAAAGGAGUUCGAUCGAGAUAUGUUGAAGAUUGAGGAGGAACUCGGAAGUGGUCAGUUUGGUGUGGUGUGUAAAGGUUAUGCUUGCGGAAUCGAUGGAGGAAAUGAUUACAUUCCAGUAGCUGUGAAAAGUCUAAAAGGCCAUGCAUCUCGCUCGAUGAAGGAAUACUUUCUUGAUGAGAUCAGAUUAAUCAUUGAGAUCGGUAGCCAUCCAAAUAUACUAGGAAUACUCGGUUGUUGUACUAUUGAUGAACCUUAUUAUCUUAUAACUGAAUUCAUGCAUUAUGGAGAUUUGUUUCACUUUCUGUUGAAGUGCCGUGAGGCCAAGUUUGCCCUGGAAGAUCCUAUAUUUCACUUAGUUUAUCAAAACCAAGUACAGAUUGCUCGUCAGAUCGCUCGUGGCAUGGAUUACCUAUCAAGUACACGUUAUUACCAUGGUGAUCUGGCGGCAAGGAAUAUUCUAGUAGGCCAAGGCCUAACAAUUAAAAUAUCAGAUUUUGGUUUAGCGGAUGAUAUCUAUCAGAGUGACUACAAGCACCUUGCGCCGGAUCGUAAGCGGCCAGUAAAAUGGGUCAGCCUAGAGACCAAUCUACAAGGAAUAUGCACCAUACAGAGUGACGUAUGGUCCUUUGGAAUUGUUCUGUACGAAAUAGCAACCCUCGGAGGAAUGCCAUACCCAGGGAUGCAAUCGAUUGAAGUAGUGGAGAGAUUGAAGGAAGGUUACAGGAUGGAACAGCCAGACAACUGUUCCAAUGAAUGGUAUCAAAUGAUGCUGGAAUGCUGGACAACAAACCCUUCGAAGAGGCCAAAGUUCAGUGAGCUGUACAGUCGAUUGGACAUAAUGCUGGUCGAUGAUGCUGUGGAUUACAUGGAGCCGUUAGAUGGCGAUGUAAACCAAAUUGUAUCUCUGGAAGAUGAUUUAGCUCUGGGAACAAGUGCUAGAAGCUAUACACCAGCGUCAUCAGAGGAUGCCGCUGCCAGUCAUGAAGUAUCUGAGGCUGAGCAAACAGACGGCAAUGAACAAGAAAAAGAAUGCUUUAUAGACAAUAUGUCAAAACAUGCAGGUACGGAUUCAGCAUUCUACGACGACAUUGGUUUCACGUAGUGUCAACUUGCAACUAUAUGACGUCAUAAAUGUGUGAUGAAAUUCAAAUGUUAUGAAGAGCUAUGCUGUAUACGGUUAAGAUGAAGCACACAAAAUUCAAAUCUAAAAGGAUGAUAAUGGUAAUGAUUUUGACGAUAACGGUGACGGCAACGACGAUGAUGACGGUGAUGACGAGGAUAAUGAUGAUGAUGAAGGAUAUGAUGAUGAUAAGAAGGAGGAGGA
rnacentral:misc_RNA from 1 species